rnacentral:rRNA from 1 species
GUACUAGUAAUAAACUAGCUCGUGUUCCAGCAGUCGAGACUGAGAGGUCGAUCGACCACAUUGGGUAUGAAAAAAGCCCAAGGCGAACAGCACAGCAGUGAGGAAUAUUGGUCAAUGGUCUAACGACUGAACCAGCAAUUUGGAAGAACGUAUAAUAAAUAAAUUUUAAAGUUCUAGAUAAAAUAUUUAUAAUGACUAUUUUUUAUCUAUAAGUCUUGGCCAAAUUACGUGCCAGCAGUCGCGGUAAUACGUAAAAGACGAGUGUUAUUCAUCUUUAAUCGGUUUAAAGGGUACCUAGACGGAAAAUCAAGCUUAAUUAAACUAAGGACUAGUUUUCUAGAGUUUGACAUGAGAAGGUACGAACUAUCAGAGGAGAGAUAAAAUUUGUUGAUACUGGUGGGACGGACAACGGCGAAGGCAAUCUUCUACUAAAAACUGACGUUGAGGGACGAAGCCUUGGGGAGCGAGAAGGAUUAGAUACCCUAGUAGUCCUUGGAGAAAAUUAUGAGUGCCAUAGACUAAAGUGAAAAAGAAGUUCUUUUAAAAGAACUUUGUAUCUGAGCCUUAAUUGGAUACAAAGGUCUCGAGUAGCAGUUUAUAAAUGAAAGUGUAAGCAUUCCACCUCAUGACUAAAGCGGCAACGCCCAAAUUGAAAUCAUUAGACCGUUUCUGAAACCAGUAGUGAAGUAUGUUAUUUAAUUCGAUAACCCGCGAAUAACCUUACCACGUUUUGAAUUUAUUAAACAAGUGUUGCAC